rnacentral:rRNA from 1 species
GAUCAUGCUCAGGAUGAACGCUAGCUACAGGCUUAACACAUGCAAGUCGAGGGGCAGCGGGAAGUCAGCUUGCUGACUUUGCCGGCGACCGGCGCACGGGUGAGUAACACGUAUCCAACCUUCCCGUUACUCUGGAAUAGCCUUUCGAAAGAAAGAUUAAUACCGGAUAGUAUCGAGAGAUUGCAUGAUUACCCGAUUAAAGAUUCAUCGGUAACGGAUGGGGAUGCGUUCCAUUAGG